rnacentral:pre_miRNA from 1 species
ACUCAAACUGUGGGGGCACUUUCUGCUCUCUGGUGAAAGUGCCGCCAUCUUUUGAGUGU